AUUGAACGCUGGCGGCAUGCCUUACACAUGCAAGUCGAACGGCAGCACGGGUGCUUGCACCUGGUGGCGAGUGGCGAACGGGUGAGUAAUACAUCGGAACAUGUCCUGUAGUGGGGGAUAGCCCGGCGAAAGCCGGAUUAAUACCGCAUACGAUCUACGGAUGAAAGCGGGGGACCUUCGGGCCUCGCGCUAUAGGGUUGGCCGAUGGCUGAUUAGCUAGUUGGUGGGGUAAAGGCCUACCAAGGCGACGAUCAGUAGCUGGUCUGAGAGGACGACCAGCCACACUGGGACUGAGACACGGCCCAGACUCCUACGGGAGGCAGCAGUGGGGAAUUUUGGACAAUGGGCGAAAGCCUGAUCCAGCAAUGCCGCGUGUGUGAAGAAGGCCUUCGGGUUGUAAGCACUUUUGUCCGGAAAGAAAUCCUUGGCCCUAAUACGGUCGGGGGAUGACGGUACCGGAAGAAUAAGCACCGGCUAACUACGUG
rnacentral:rRNA from 1 species